rnacentral:rRNA from 1 species
GGCAGAUCGGGGGCAGUGGCGGGAGUAAGACAGAGGUUGCAAAGGUUAAACGGAAUUACGUGGCGUGAAGAGGGGGUAGGUGGUUUGUUAAGGUGAAGGUGAAAUCCCCGUGCUUAACCGGGGAACUGAAUCCAAAACUGGCAAGCUAGAGUAUGGUAGAGGGGAGUGGAAGUUCCUGUGUAGCGGUGAAAUGCGUAGAUAUAGGAAGGAACACCAGUGGCGAAGGCGACCACCUGGACUGAUACUGACACUGAGGUGCGAAAGCGUGGGGAGCAAACAGGAUUAGAUACCCUUGUAGUC